rnacentral:rRNA from 1 species
GUUCCUACGGGAGGCAGCAGUGGGGAAUAUUGGACAAUGGGCGAAAGCCUGAUCCAGCCAUGCCGCGUGUGUGAAGAAGGUCUUCGGAUUGUAAAGCACUUUAAGUUGGGAGGAAGGGCAGUAAGUUAAUACCUGCUGUUUGACGUACCGACAGAAAGCCCCGUUUUGCCC